GCUUGUCUCAAAGAUUAAGCCAUGCAUGUCUAAGUAUAAGCAAUUAUACCGCGAAACUGCGAAUGGCUCAUUAAAUCAGUUAUCGUUUAUUUGAUAGUUCCCUACUACUUGGAUAACCGUGGUAAUUCUAGAGCUAAUACAUGCAAAAAACCGCGACUUCGGAAGCGGUGUAUUUAUUAGAUUAAAGACCAAUGCCCUUCGGGGCUGACUGGUGAUUCAUGAUAACUUCUCGAAUCGCACGGCCUUGCGCCGGCGAUGGUUCAUUCAAAUUUCUGCCCUAUCAACUUUCGACUUUAGCGUAGUGGGCUAAAGUGGUUACAACGGGUAACGGAGGGUUAGGGCUCGACCCCGGAGAAGGAGCCUGAGAGACGGCUACUACAUCCAAGGAAGGCAGCAGGCGCGCAAAUUACCCAAUCCCGACACGGGGAGGUAGUGACAAUAAAUACUGAUACAGGGCUCUUUUGGGUCUUGUAAUUGGAAUGAGUACAAUUUAAAUCCCUUAACGAGGAACAAUUGGAGGGCAAGUCUGGUGCCAGCAGCCGCGGUAAUUCCAGCUCCAAUAGCGUAUAUUAAAGUUGUUGUGGUUAAAAAGCUCGUAGUUGAACCUGGGCCUCGCGCAGACCGGUCCGCCUCACCGCGUGCACUGGUCCUGCCGGGGCUUUCACUAGGGGAUUCGCAUGCCCUUCACUGGGCGUGCGCGGAACCUGGACCUUUACUGUGAAAAAAUUAGAGUGGUUUCCAAAAAGGCCAGGGCCCUUAUGGCCUUCCGAAUUACCAUUAAGCAUGGGAAUUAAUUAGAAUUAGGACAGUGUGGUUCUCAUAUUUGUUGGUUAUAGGGACCGCCGUAAUGAUUAAUAGGGGACAGCUCGGCGGGGCGCCUCAGUUAUAUCCAAGUUGUCAGGAGGUGAAAUUCUUGGAUUUAUUGAAGACUAACUACUGCGAAAGCAUUUGCCAAGGAUGUUUUCAUUAAUCAGGAACGAAAGUUAGGGGAUCGAAGACGAUCAGAUACCGUCGUAGUCUUAACCAUAAGACUAUGCCGACUAGGGAUCGGGCGAUGUUACUUUUUGACUCGCUCGGCACCUUACGAGAAAUCAAAGUCUGUGGGUUCCUGGGGGAGUAUGGUGGCAACGCUGAAACUUAAAGG
rnacentral:rRNA from 2 species